GGAUUAAUGGUUAGGUUCUGUACAAACACUUGACAUUUACAUUGCAAUUAGCAGACAAUUCUACAGAGAGAUUUAUAAAGUGAGAAAAACAGCAAUGCUUCCACACGAAGCCUAUCCAACCUUUUUUUAAUCUGAUCGUUUUUCCAUCCGUAAACAUCAAAAAAUUUGAACAAAAGGCAGAAACAAUGCCGUGUCGAAGUGAGGACGCAUGUGUCAUCUGCAUUUAUAUCUCACAGGGCAUUUAUAAACAUUCACGACCAGAAAUGUGCCCAAACUGGAAUAAGAAUAAGGUCAGGGAGGUCCUUACUAACCCUGCUGAAACUGAGAUCAUUUGCCAGCAUAGUAUAACUGUGCCCGUCAUGGAAAGUUCAUGGUUAGAUCAGAAAAUGAAUGCACAUGGGUGGUUUCUCCGGAGUAAAAUAGCGUAUGAUAAGCUAAUUUUUAUUGCUAAUUAUUGGUUUCUUUUGCGGUUUUGAAAAAAUUCACAUACGCACAAUUUUACGUUAUGCUGUCAAUAAAAUCCACAUGUACACAGAUGUAAGAAAACAAUAGAAUUAUGCGUUGGAAAGAAACACUAUGCACUUGUGCCAAAACAUAUUUGGCUUUAGAUCGAUAAAUACAAUCAAGACGGCGCACUGAGCAGUUUUGUUUGGGCGACCAAUAUUUUUUUGACCCUGGACUAUAAAGCAGCAAAAUUUGGUAAACUUCGUUGGAGAAGCAUUAAUAAACUUGAGCACCAUAAACACGUUCAUGUAGGCCGCUAUUUGCAUUGUGAUUAUGUAUGCUAGGGAUGCACCGAAUAUUCGGCCACCGAAAAAUUUUCGGUUUUAAUAAUUUUCGGACGAUAAUCUGAUCUGUGCCUUAAAAACUGUAAUGGGAUCCGAACCGUGAGUUUUGUGAUCCGUCACACACCCCUAGUAAAGUUAGUACACAGUGAUACCCAUAAAUGCAAUUGUACUGAUAAUUGGCAUAAUCAUUUCUUUCAGCAUUUCGGUUUCGGCUUUUGGCCUGUUUUUUUUUUCGAUUUCGGCCAAGAAUUUUCAUUACGGUGCAUCCCUAAUAUAUGCGCAUACCUAUAGACUGAAUUAUCACAUGCGCCUGACGUCGCCAUUAUCACAAAGCCGCGUUUUCAUAGUUUAAAAGUCUUUAAAGUAAAUGCCAUUUCUUUUUUUUUACGUAAAAAAAUGUUGUGUAAACCAGGGGUUCUCAACCUUUUGCAACUUACGGCCCACCAAUGACUGUUUAAAACAUUUCGAGGACCAUCUUUCUAAACAUGAUAGUAUCAAUGCAGAAUAAUAGAAAAACGACAUGCCUUUUGUGUCACUAUAGGUACACCUAUGGAUGGUACCCCUGUAGAUGAUUUAAUAAUGUCAUUGCUGCCAAGGGAAAACCAACAUAAAAAACAAGCCACAUAGGUGUCAUUUUGAACAGAAGAAAAAACAUUUAAAGAGAAAGAUUUUUAGGCUUAGACAUGACGUGAUUGCUGUUGUGAUAUUCAAACAUAAAUUGUCUUUUAGAUCAGUCAGUAGUUGUAUAGGGACGGCACUCGUCAAACUUUUAUGACCCCCUCCCCCACCCGGUGACAGUUGCUGUCUGACAGGUCGUUUUUAUGACCCUUUGACAGGGGGGCGGGACCAUCAAUCAAAAUCUGGACAAGUUGUCAACUUUAGACAGAAAGUAUUUAAUGGUUUUAUUGCCGGUCAUUUAGAGUGAUUGUUUUUCCUGAGUGUGUUUUAUGUUAAGCGUAUGGUGUCAUGUUUAAUGACGGCUCGUGUUUUGACAUUUACUGUUUAUUGACAUUUGAUGUCAGAUCUCAACCAUCCUCCCACCUUUGCUCGCCCCGUGCGCUUCUCAAUACUGACUUUCACACCGCGGGUGUGUUGUUGAAUCUAAAGUUUUGCAACAGCAUAAGUUUAUUUAAAGGCAAUCACUAAUCAUAUAUAUAUAUAUAUAUAUAUUAGAUGUACCAGGCUACGCUUAAAGCCGAUGUUUUCUAUCGAGCUAUAGUUUCUGAUCAGACACAAAGUCUGAACUAAAUAAAAUUUUAAACGGUUCACGAAGUCCGGGAAUCUUUUCAUGACCUGGUCUACAGUUUCACGCGUAUUAAAAGAUCCGGCGGUGUCUGACAAAGCGUCGGGUGAUUGUUCAUAUCUGUCAUUUAAAAUAAAGUUAAUAAAUGUAAUUCUGUCCACUAUGGCAAAAUAGGAAUUUAUUUUAGAUUUAGGGGAAUCUUUAACCAUGUCUCUGAUUAAAACUUUUGAUUGUAACAUCACAAGUUAUUUAAUUAAAUAUUCUGUAUACGGGUAUAGUUUAAGCAAUGACCUGAGCCAUUACCUUCGGAGCCGUCAAUACUACAUUCUUUAGACGAUAGUCUAAACUAAAUAAAAUUUUUAAACGGUUCAGGAAUUCCGUGAAUCUUUUCAUAACCUGCACUAUAGUUUCACGCGUAUUAAAGAUCCAGCGGUGCCUGACAAAGCGCCGGGUGAGUGUUCAUAUCUGCCAUUUUAAAAUAAUGUUAAUAAAUGUAAUUCUGUCCACUAUGGCAAAAUAGGAUUUUAUUUUAGAUUUAGUGGAAUCUUUAACCAAGUCUCUGAUUAAGACAUGUGUAUACGUGCACAGAUGGUGACAGAGAAACUUAUAUAUGACGUUAAUAAUCUUUUAAAUGUUUUUAAGACGUAUUCACCCCAUUUUGGGGUUUUAUUUUUAAUUAAAGGCUUCUUAAAACAUGUGUGAAUAUGUGUGUAUUAUACAAAGAGUCUUAUAUUGUCUGCUCUGACAAAAAUAAAGUCUUUUUUAGGUUUAGGGGAAUUGACUGCGUGUGUCUUAUAAAUACAACUUGAUAAUAUGUUUGUUUUGUAAAGAGACUUCUUUAAAGUCACGCAAGAAUAAAAUAUUUUAGUUGUAACUGGUUAAACUUAAAGCCGAUAUUUUCUAUCGAACUAGUCUAUUUUCUGUUCAGACACAAAGUUUUCUGAUGCUGAUAUUAUGUCAGUGUGUGUUUGUGUGGGGGUCGUGUGAUGUAAUCUUUGAAAGUUUAUGACCGAACCUUUAUUGGGGAGCGACAAGAGAUCUCCCGGAAUCAGUUUGGAUGGAGCAGAGCUGUUAUACUCAAGUCUGUUGCGAAAUUGUCUAAACUGGUAUUAACUAUUCCUGGUAAAUCGCGGAGAAGAGUGGCCUGAACAAAAAAGUCAGACCGAGACUAGAACCUCCCGCAGCGUAACACGGAAAUCUUGGAACAAAAGAGACGCCGACUGGCUCGUGUUGUCCGGUUUGGAUAUCAGAGGCAAAGCGAACGUUGUGUGUACUAUUGCAAAAUAUAUAGCGGAUCUCCACGGUUAGGAUACAGACCACGACGCUUUGGACGUAUCUUUAAAAAAGAUUAAAAUCAGAGACUUUUUGGAUUUGUCUGGGGACAUUUUAAACAUUUUGUGGCAAAUUGGAUUUAAAACAUUUCGGAUACUGGAUACCUAGUUUGAUUUGUCCACAGAGCUUGUUUAAGACGUUUUCACCGCAUUUUAGGGUUUAUUUUUAAUUAAAGGCUUCUUAAAACAUGUGUGAAAAUGUGUAUAUUAUACAAUGAGUCUUAUAUUGUCUGCUCUGACAUAAAUAAAUUUUUAUAUUAGAUUUUA